GCUGGUGUGGCGCAAUUCGGCAGCGCAACCGACUUGUAAUCGGUAGGUUCCCGGUUCGAAUCCGGGCACCAGCU
rnacentral:tRNA from 1 species